rnacentral:lncRNA from 1 species
UGGCCACCGCGCUGGGGGCGAGAGGAGGGCAGAGAUGUGGACCCACACAGAGGCCACGCCGGGGCUGAGCAAGGACGGCCCCGGAUAGGGCGGGCUUAGAGAGGGGCACGGAGGCUGGACCCUGGCCUUGAAGGAGCCCCUGCAAGGUGGGGGCUGCACUGGGGUUGUGGCAGGGGAACAUGUGGACCACAGAAAGCAUCACACCUGGGCUGGUGCUGGACAUCCCCAGCACCAACCACACCUUCUCAUCGCCAGGGCCUCCUGUUCAGGCUGCUUGGACUCUCAAGCUCUGUCUGCUUUGUUCCUACUUGGCAGAACUGGGCGCCUCUCAGCACUCACUUGGAGACGUGGGGUCGGAACUCUGGUGGCCUGGUGCCUCUCCCAGCCAGGACCUGGAUGAAUGAACACACACCCUUCCUUUCCCAGGCUCUGCCGUGUCUUCUGUCAAAGGUCCCUCCUGCUACCACCACGGAUGCCACCUAAUCCCUGCCCUCUUGAAGAGCUACUUCCCUCCUCCCUUCCUCCCCUGCCCAAGAUCUCCCUGCCCCUCAAGUCCUGGCUCCAGAGGGGAGUCAGGAGGCCCCCGGAAGAAAGCGUCUCCCUCCCGGCUCUCUGCUUGCCAUCACCCAGGAGGCCGACGUGGCCAGGGUGACUGCAGGACAGCUUGUGUCUUUGCAAGUCAAGGUGGGACAGCUUCGUCCCAAAGACCGAGACUACAGGACUUGACGCCGCAAUCCUCCAGGGUCGGAUGGACCCAGCGCAGAGGAGAUUCACGAUGGACUGCCCUCCCUCCCCCGCCCAUUCUCCACUAAACUAAGGAGCCCCUUUUCCCUGUUUUCCUGCUUUCCCAGGGAGGGGCUGAGCUGGGCAAGGGAUGAAACGCCCAGCACGGGAAUCCGACCCAGGCUCUCCGAGCCUUCGCACUGGGACAACUUUCUGGAAAGGGUAGGCAGACAGAAGGGUAGAGGGGACGUUGGAGGCUGCGCUAUCGGCAGCCUUGCUGGAACGCCCUGCUCCUAGGGGCCCCGAGAGAGCCUGCACAUACGGCCCAGGGGGUUACCUUUUCC